rnacentral:lncRNA from 1 species
CUAAUUUCCCUCUGUUCAAAAGGAGAAUUUUGCUAUUUAAAUUAAAUUCCUUUAAAUAGAAAUUAAAGUAAAGAGGGAAAGAACCCUGCCCUCUGAAGGCUUAUUCUCCAUUGUCAUAGCUUGCUCCAUUGGUGUUGCAGUGCAAGUGGUACUCCACACAGUCUCUUCUCUGCACAGGCAGCUUCUUCUUUUCCUCAGAAGAUAGUUUAUUUUCUACCCAAUGCUAAAUCUCGUGUUUGUCUUACUUCUUUGAAUGAGCACAAGCACUGUGGUUUUGUUCUUCUCAUUUCCCAGUGCCUUUUUGCUGAUCUUCUCUGCAUGUAUCUGCAAGGUCAGGAAAACAAAUCAGUAUGGAAAAGGACCUCCUGUCCCUUUUAACCUAACCUGUAGGAGGGAGAGAAGGGAAAUUGCCACUUACGUGAAAGGGAGCUUUAAAUAUACUUGAAAAAAGCACUGUGGGAGUGAGGGUUUGGAAGGACAGGUGUUGACAAGACCAUUCUCUGCAAUUCACAGGGUGCCUUUAUGAACUCACAGUCUCCUCCUCCACAGCAGUGUAUACAUACAGAUGCAUAGAGCUGAAACGUGUCCCAGGAAAGCGGCACUGACAGGGAAUGGCCCUCUCAUUUCAGCAUCACUGACCAUGAGGGUCAGGCACAGGGAGCUGGACUAAGACUCACCACAUAGUUUGAGGGCUACCAAAUGCUGACCUCUACCUUCUGCUGCCUGGGUUUUCUUCAGUACUCUCUGGUUAUUCCUCUCUUUUUUUCCAUUCCUCAAGCAUCAAGGUCAGAAAACAGAGAAAUGCAGAGAGCAAAGUGAGCCCUCCUUUUAAAGCAUGGAAUUGGAGUCUCAGAGUGCAGCCUGGAUAAACAACAACCUUUUGCACAGGGGAAAACAACAGUGCCUGUGUGUCUCAGAAAGCUCAGCAUUUGUGCUGCUGAAUGGAGGAUGGUGGUGCUCCCUCUGCACGCUUCUAGUGUCAGUCACUAGAGCAGAGAGACAAGAAGGAGGGGACAGAAACAGCGACAUAAAUGUAUUUUACCUCUUCCUGGUGUCAUCUGUUGAACUACUUAAACUGCUUUAAAAAUUAAAAGCUUUUUAAGAAUACCUUUGCAGCAAAAGCCUUUUGCAAAAAAAAAAAAAAAAAAAAACAAACCAAAAAACAAAAACAAGCAGCUGCUAGAAAAAGAACAUUCUUUUACAGAUGAUAAAAACAGAAGCCCACAUGGUAGAUGGUUUUCAGUCUUCCCUUUCCUCCCUCGUUUGUGUCCUGCACCAAGCCAAGCCACUCUGGGCCCAUUCUGGCUUCAACUGACUGCACAAUUCCAAAGGCAGAGUCAGG